rnacentral:rRNA from 1 species
UACGAAGGGUGCAAACGUUGCUCGGAAUUAUUGGGCGUAAAGCGCACGUAGGCGGCUUUGCAAGUCCCAUGUGAAAUCCCACGGCUCAACCGUGGAAGUGCAUGGGAAACUGCAGAGCUUGAGUACUUAAGAGGAUCGCGGAAUUCCCGGUGUAGAGGUGAAAUUCGUAGAUAUCGGGAGGAACACCAGAGGCGAAGGCGGCGAUCUGGGAAGAUACUGACGCUGAGGUGCGAAAGCGUGGGGAGCAAACAGG